AAAUGUUAGCUGUUUUCCUUAUCAUUGUCCCUUCCUCCCACUCUCCUAGCAAGCUCUUCCUGAUUAGCGUUUUAUUAUGUGCCUUGUAUUUGAUUACAGGCUGAUUUCUGUAACUAUUCACAGGUUUCAUAAUUUGAAUUGUAAACUCCUCAAAGCCAGGGAGCAUUUAUUAAUCUUCUUAUUACCUACACCAUAGUGCCUAGCACACAAUUGUGCUUAAUAUUUAUUGACUAAGUAUGUAGAAUUUUGGAGGAGCUGUCAUGAAACCAGUAUUUAUAAAUACAAAUCUGGUUUUUAGCUGUAUAAUUUUUAUCCUUGACCUGGUUGAAAACAAACUGUAAUAAUUACAUUUCAGGAGAUGACGCAUUCAUGGCCUCCCCCUCUAACGGCUAUUCAUACACCAUGCAAAACAGAACCUUCCAAAUUUCCUUUUCCAACUAAGGAGUCUCAGCAGUCCAAUUUUGGCACUGGAGAACAAAAAAGAUAUAAUCCUUCUAAAACUUCAAAUGGGCACCAGUCUAAAUCUAUGUUAAAAGAUGACUUAAAACUAAGCAGCAGUGAAGACAGUGAUGGGGAACAGGAUUGUGAUAAGACAAUGCCGAGGAGUACACCAGGAAGUAACUCUGAACCUUCACACCAUAAUAGUGAAGGAGCAGAUAACUCCAGGGAUGAUUCUAGUAGCCACAGUGGAUCUGAAAGCAGCUCUGGAUCUGACUCAGAGAGUGAAA
rnacentral:sRNA from 1 species